CUUGACGGCCAACCACCUGCCGUCAGUGGUUGGUCGUCCUUCUCCUUGUUUCUGCUCUAUUUUUUAUGCCAUCCUCUUGGUUUAAUAACCCCUUUUAGGGGCCUUGUUUGAGCUCUCAUGGCUCUUUUCUCUUCUCCCGAGCAGAACCUUGUUGAGGAGGGUCCCGUGUGAUGUUCCGAUGUCGGUGGUCGAUGAGAGUUUUGUUGUAGCUCUUGCUUUGACGUUGGAGAUCCGUCGGUGGUGGUGCUUGAUGACAAGUGGUGUAAUUGCACUGGGCUUCGCCAGGUGGCUGUCAUGGUUGGUCUGUUGAGGGUGCGACUCAGCCUUUUCUCCUCCACUGAUUGGCAAGCCAUGCUUGGUCCUUUUUGGCAUGUUUCUUUUUUUUUCUUCUUCUACUUAGAGGUUUAGCCACUCUUUUUGCUAGCUUAGAAGAAUUUGAUUGAAUUUUUGACAAUAAGGAGUUGUAAGAAUCGUGAGAUGUUUUACUUUUCUCGUCAAAAAAGAGUUGGACACCUAAGUACCUCAAAUAACGUAGGGAAUGCCUCCUUUGAUCCUGACAAAAGAAGGUAAAUAUAUGUGGAGGCCAAGUUCAAGGGUUAACAUUUUCCUCAUCGGAAUGAGCCCUAUUAAGAGCAAUGCUUGCAUGCACCUUUUUUGGAUCAUGAGGUUGCCAACACUAGUUCAAUCGUUUCAAGAAAGGUAGUUAUUUUAAAAUGUGUUACUAUCUUUUGGCAAUGAGAGUUCACCUUUUUAUGUUAGAGGGUAGGGAUGUGAUCAAUGCCAUGCCUCUUUUGAUUUGGCUUGCAUGUAUAAACAAAUAAACCUCGUAUUGUUAUUA